GGUGAUAGCUCAGUGGUAGAGCGCAUGCUUAGCAUGCAUGAGGUCCUGGGUUCAAUCCCCAGCACCU
rnacentral:tRNA from 1 species